GGGCGUAGCGCAGCUUGGUAGCGCGUUUGACUGGGGGUCAAAAGGUCGCAGGUUCAAAUCCUGUCGCCCCGACUA
rnacentral:tRNA from 1 species